CCACUCUGUCCAUCAGGAGCUGCAGAGACUUCUCCAGGUGGUUACUGAGGAGAGAUGAACUACACAUUAGAUUACAUUCUCCAGGUGGUUACUGAGGGGAGAUGAACUACACAUUAGAUUACAUUCUCCAGGUGGUUACUGAGGGGAGAUGAACUACACAUUAGAUGACAGUCUCCAGGUGGUUCCUGAGGGGAGAUGAACUACACAUUAGAUUACAUUCUCCAGGUGGUUACUGAGGAGAGAUGAACUACACAUUAGAUGACAUUCUCCAGGUGGUUCCUGAGGGGAGAUGAACUACACAUUAGAUUACAUUCUCCAGGUGGUUACUGAGGGGAGAUGAACUACACAUUAGAUUACAUUCUCCAGGUGGUUACUGAGGAGAGAUGAACUACACACUAGAUGACAUUCUCCAGGUGGUUCCUGAGGAGAGAUGAACUACACAUUAGAUUACAGUCUCCAGGUGGUUCCUGAGGGGAGAUGA